rnacentral:rRNA from 1 species
CGAAGGGGGCUAGCGUUGCUCGGAAUCACUGGGCGUAAAGGGUGCGUAGGCGGGUCUUUAAGUGAGGGGUGAAAUCCUGGAGCUCAACUCCAGAACUGCCUUUGAUACUGAGGAUCUUGAGUCCGGGAGAGGUGAGUGGAACUGCGAGAGUAGAGGUGAAAUUCGUAGAUAUUCGCAAGAACACCAGUGGCGAAGGCGGCUCACUGGCCCGGUACUGACGCUGAGGCACGAAAGCGUGGGGAGCAAACAGG